GACGAACGCUGGCGGCGUGCUUAACACAUGCAAGUCGAACGGAAAGGCCCUGCUUUUGUGGGGUGCUCGAGUGGCGAACGGGUGAGUAACACGUGAGUAACCUGCCCUUGACUUUGGGAUAACUUCAGGAAACUGGGGCUAAUACCUGAUAGGAGCUCCUGCUGCAUGGGGGGGGUUGGAAAGUUUCGGCGGUAGGGGAUGGACGCGCGGCUUAUCAGCUUGUUGGGGGGGUAGUGGCUUACCAAGGCUUUGACGGGUCGCCGGCCUGAGAGGGUGACCGGGCACCAUAGUCCUGAGAGACGGAGCAGACGCCUAUGUGGGGCAGCAGGCGAAAACCUUAUCCAGCGGGGCGACGUGUGAGAAAGAGACGUCCCGAGUGGAAUGCACGUCAUCUGGUUGUAAACCGCAUUAGCUUGAGACGAAGCGUUUGUGACGGUAACGGGUGAAGAAGCACCGGCUAACUACGUG
rnacentral:rRNA from 1 species